rnacentral:rRNA from 1 species
AUUGAACGCUGGCGGCAGGCCUAACACAUGCAAGUCGAGCGGAGCGGCGGACGGGUGCGUAAGGCUUAGGAAUCUGCCUGGUAGUGGGGGAUAACGUCCGGAAACGGGCGCUAAUACUGCAUACUAUCAGAUGAGCCUAGGUCGGAUUAGCUAGGUGGUGGGGUAAAGGCAUACCCAGGCGACGAUCCGUAGCUGGUCUGAGAGGAUGAUCAGUCACACUGGAACUGAGACACGGUCCAGACUCCUACGGGAGGCAGCAGUGGGGAAUAUUGGACAAUGGGCGAAAGCCUGAUGCAGCCAUGCCGCGUGUGUGAAGAAGGUCUUCGGGUUGUAAAGCACUUUAAGUUGGGAGGCGUUACCAGCAGAAUAAGCACCGGCUAACUUCGUGCCAGCAGCCGCGGUAAUAC